UACGGGGGGAGCAAGCGUUGUUCGGAUUUACUGGGCGUAAAGGGCGCGUAGGCGGUCAGCACAAGUCAGUUGUGAAAUCUCCGGGCUUAACUCGGAAAGGUCAACUGAUACUGUGCGACUAGAGUGCAGAAGGGGCAACUGGAAUUCUCGGUGUAGCGGUGAAAUGCGUAGAUAUCAAGAGGAACACCUGCGGCGAAGGCGGGUUGCUGGGCCGACACUGACGCUGAGGCGCGAAAGCCAGGG
rnacentral:rRNA from 1 species